rnacentral:rRNA from 1 species
AACGUAGGGGGCAAGCGUUGCCCGGAUUCACUGGGCGUAAAGCGGGUGUAGGCGGUCCUCUAAGUCAGAUGUGAAAUCCUACGGCUCAACCGUGGAACUGCAUCUGAUACUGGAGGACUUGAGGACGGUAGAGGUCGGUGGAAUUCCGGGUGUACCGGUGAAAUGGGCAGAUAUCCGGAGGAACACCAGUGGCGAAGGCGGCCGACUGGGCCGAUCCUGACGCUGAGACCCGAAAGCCAGGGUAGCGAACCGG